AAAAUAACAAUGAUUUCCCUAGUAACGGCGAGUGAACAGGAAAAAGCUCAAAGUUGGAACCUGUUUGGCCUAGCUAAACCGGAUUGUAAACUGUAGAAGUGUUUUCCAGGCAAGCCGGACCGAUAAGUCCUUUGGAACAGGGCAUCAUAGAGGGUGAGAAUCCCGUCUUCGGUCUGAGCAUUUGCCUUUUGCGAUACACUUUCAAAGAGUCAGGUUGUUUGGGAAUGCAGCCUAAAUUGGGUGGUAAAUCUCACCUAAAGCUAAAUAUUGGCGAGAAACCGAUAGCGAACAAGUACCGUGAGGGAAAGAUGAAAAGAACUUUGAAAAGAGAGUUAAACAGUAUGUGAAAUUGUUAAAAGGGAACCGUUUGGAGCCAGACUGGCUUGUCUGUAAUCAGUCUAAGUUUCGGCUUGGAUGCACUUGCAGGCUAUGCCUGCCAACGACAAUUUGGCUUGAGGGAAAAAACUAGGGGAAAUGUGGCCCAUUCGUGGGUGUUAUAGUCCCUUAGAAAAUACCUUGGGCUGGAUUGAGGUACGCAGCGAAUGCUAUUUGGCGAGUUGGCUGGGAAUAUUUUCUGAGGUGCUCUGGUACUGAGGUUGAUAUUCCUAGUUACACUUCUAUUCGCUUAGGUUGUUGGCUUAAUGACUCUAAAUGAC
rnacentral:rRNA from 1 species